UUCGCAAUGCCCGAAAGGGUGACGAAGCGACGCCGCGUGUGGGAAGAAGGCCUUCGGGUUGUAAACCACUGUCGGGAGUUAAGAAAUACAAGGAUAUGAAUAGUGUCUUUGUUUGACUAAGGCUCCGGAGGAAGCCACGGCUAACUCUGUGCCAGCAGCCGCGGUAAUACAGAGGCGGCAAGCGUUGUUCGGAAUUAUUGGGCGUAAAGAGCACGUAGGCGGCUAUGUAAGUCGGUUGUGAAAGCCUUCCGCUCAACGGGAGAACAGCAUCCGAUACUGUAUGGCUUGAGUGUGGGAGGGGAGAGCGGAACUUCUGGUGGAGCGGUGAAAUGCGUAGAUAUCAGAAGGAACGCCGGCGGCGAAAGCGGCUCUCUGGCCCAUAACUGACGCUGAGUGUGCGAAAGCUAGGGGAGCAAACGGGAUUAGAUACCCCUGUAGCCCUAGCCGUAAACGAUGGGCACUAAGUAGAGGGGUUUU
rnacentral:rRNA from 1 species